UUCCCCCUGGCCACCUACGCCCCUGUCAUCUCUGCAGAGAAGGCCUAUCACGAGCAGCUGUCCGUGGCUGAGAUCACCAACUCCUGCUUUGAGCCGGCCAACCAGAUGGUGAAGUGCGACCCUCGCCCCGGCAAGUACAUGGCCUGCUGCCAAGGAUGUCACCGCCGCCAGCGCCACCAUCAAUACCAAGCGCAGCAUCCAGUUUGUGGACUGGUGCCCCACGGGCUUCAAGGUGGGCAUCAACUACCAGCCACCCACAGUGGUGCCGGGGGGGGACCUGGCCAAGGUGCAGCGCGCCGUCUGCAUGCUGAGCAACACCACGGCCAUCGCCGAGGCCUGGGCCCGCCUGGACCACAAGUUCGACCUGAUGUACGCCAAGCGAGCCUUCGUGCACUGGUACGUGGGCGAGGGCAUGGAGGAGGGGGAGUUCUCUGAGGCGCGGGAAGACAUGGCCGCUCUGGAGAAGGAUUACGAGGAGGUGGGCCUGGACUCCUACGAGGAUGAAGAGGAGGGCGAGGAGUAGA